rnacentral:rRNA from 1 species
UGCGUAGGUGGUCGUUUAAGUCUGUUGUGAAAGCCCUGGGCUCAACCUGGGAACUGCAGUGGAAACUGGACGACUAGAGUGUGGUAGAGGGUAGCGGAAUUCCUGGUGUAGCAGUGAAAUGCGUAGAGAUCAGGAGGAACACCAAUGGCGAAGGCAGAUCUCUGGGCCGUAACUGACGCUGAGGAGCGAAAGCAUGGGGAGCGAACA